CACGCAGGCGGUUUCUUAAGUCUUCUGUGAAAGCCCGGGGCUCAACUCCGGAACUGCAGAGGAUACUGGGAAACUGGAGACAGGUAGAGGCUAGCGGAAUUCCUGGUGUAGCGGUGGAAUGCGUAGAUAUCAGGAAGAACACCUGUGGCGAAGGCGGCUAGCUGGGCCUGUUCUGACGCUCAUGUGCGAAAGCGUGGGGAGCAAACAGGAUUAGAUACCCUGGUAGUCC
rnacentral:rRNA from 1 species